rnacentral:rRNA from 1 species
UUCCGGUUGAUCCCGCCAGAGGUCACUGCUAUCGGUGUCCGAUUAAGCCAUGCGAGUCGAGAGGUGUAAGACCUCGGCAGACUGCUCAGUAACACGUGGAUAACCCGCCCAAGGGUCCGGGAUAACCCCGGGAAACUGGGGAUAAUACCGGAUGGGUCACCAGUGCUGGAAUGCUUGGUGGUCGAAAGGUGACGCCUUUGGAUGGGUCUGCGGCGGAUUAGGUUGACGCCGGUGUAACGUACCGGCGUGCCUGUAAUCCGUACGGGUUGUGGGAGCAAGAGCCCGGAGAUGGAUUCUGAGACACGAAUCCAGGCCCUACGGGGCGCAGCAGGCGCGAAAACUCUACAAUGCAGGCAACUGCGAUAGGGGGACAUCGAGUGGCAUCCACCUUGGGUGUCUGUCCAACCGUCUAAAAAACGGUUGUUAGCAAGGGCCGGGCAAGACCGGUGCCAGCCGCCGCGGUAAUACCGGCGGCUCGAGUGGUGGCCGAUAUUAUUGAGUCUAAAGGGUCCGUAGCCGGCUUUGCAAGUCCCCUGGGAAAUCCGGCGGCUUAACCGUUGGGCUUUCAUGGGAUACUACAUUGCUUGGGACUGGGAGAGGUAGGAGGUACUCGGGGGGUAGGGGUGAAAUCCUGUAAUCCUCCGGGGACCACCGGUGGCGAAGGCGUCCUACCAGAACAGGUCCGACGGUGAGGGACGAAAGCUAGGGGCACGAACCGGAUUAGAUACCCGGGUAGUCCUAGCCGUAAACGAUGCCCGCUAGGUGUCACGACGGUCGUGAAUCGUCGUGGUGCCGUAGGGAAGCCGCGAAGCGGGCCACUUGGGAAGUACGGCCGCAAGGCUGAAACUUAAAGGAAUUGGCGGG